rnacentral:rRNA from 1 species
GACGAACGCUGGCGGCGUGCUUAACACAUGCAAGUCGAACGGAAAGGCCCUGCUUUUGUGGGGUGCUCGAGUGGCGAACGGGUGAGUAACACGUGAGUAACCUGCCCUUGACUUUGGGAUAACUUCAGGAAACUGGGGCUAAUACCGGAUAGGAGCUCCUGCUGCAUGGUGGGGGUUGGAAAGUUUCGGCGGUUGGGGAUGGACUCGCGGCUUAUCAGCUUGUUGGUGGGGUAGUGGCUUACCAAGGCUUUGACGGGUAGCCGGCCUGAGAGGGUGACCGGCCACAUUGGGACUGAGAUACGGCCCAGACUCCUACGGGAGGCAGCAGUGGGGAAUAUUGCACAAUGGGCGGAAGCCUGAUGCAGCAACGCCGCGUGCGGGAUGACGGCCUUCGGGUUGUAACCGCUUUCGCCUGUGACGAAGCGUGAGUGACGGUAAUGGGUAAAGAAGCACCAGCUAACUACGUG